rnacentral:tRNA from 1 species
GGGGAUUUAGCUCAGUGGUAGAGCGUUUGCCUAGCAAGCGCAAGGCCCUGGGUAAAGUCCCCA